GACGAACGCUGGCGGCGUGCUUAACACAUGCAAGUCGAACGGUGAAGCGCCUUCCUUUUUGGUGGGUGUGGAUGAGUGGCGAACGGGUGAGUAACACGUGAGUAACCUGCCCCCUUCUUCUGGAUAACCGCAUGAAAGUGUGGCUAAUACGGGAUAUUCUGGGUCUGUCGCAUGAUGGGUCUGGGACAGAUAUUGUUUCGGUGGGGGAUGGGCUCGCGGCCUAUCAGGUUGUUGGUGGGGUGCUGGGCUACCAAGGGUGUGACGGGUAGCCGGCCUGAGAGGGUGGACGGCCACACAGGGACUGAGCCACGGUCGAGACUCCUACGGGAGGCAGCAGUGGGGAAUAGGGCACAGUGGGGGCAAGCCUGAUGCAGCGACGCCGCGGGAGGGAUGGAGGCCUUCGGGUUGUGAACCUCUUUCGCCAGUGAAGCAGGCCUGCCUCGUUUGUGGGUGGGUUGACGGUAGCUGGAUAAGAAGCGCCGGCUAACUACGUG
rnacentral:rRNA from 1 species